GCUCAGGACGAACGCUGGCGGCGUGCUUAACACAUGCAAGUCGAACGAUGAAACCGCUUCGGUGGUGGAUUAGUGGCGAACGGGUGAGUAACACGUGGGCAAUCUGCCCUUCACUCUGGGACAAGCCCUGGAAACGGGGUCUAAUACCGGAUAACACUCUGUCCCGCAUGGGACGGGGUUGAAAGCUCCGGCGGUGAAGGAUGAGCCCGCGGCCUAUCAGCUUGUUGGUGGGGUAAUGGCCUACCAAGGCGACGACGGGUAGCCGGCCUGAGAGGGCGACCGGCCACACUGGGACUGAGACACGGCCCAGACUCCUACGGGAGGCAGCAGUGGGGAAUAUUGCACAAUGGGCGAAAGCCUGAUGCAGCGACGCCGCGUGAGGGAUGACGGCCUUCGGGUUGUAAACCUCUUUCAGCAGGGAAGAAGCGAAAGUGACGGUACCUGCAGAAGAAGCGCCGGCUAACUACGUGCCAGCAGCCGCGGUAAUACGUAGGGCGCAAGCGUUGUCCGGAAUUAUUGGGCGUAAAGAGCUCGUAGGCGGCUUGUCACGUCGGAUGUGAAAGCCCGGGGCUUAACCCCGGGUCUGCAUUCGAUACGGGCUAGCUAGAGUGUGGUAGGGGAGAUCGGAAUUCCUGGUGUAGCGGUGAAAUGCGCAGAUAUCAGGAGGAACACCGGUGGCGAAGGCGGAUCUCUGGGCCAUUACUGACGCUGAGGAGCGAAAGCGUGGGGAGCGAACAGGAUUAGAUACCCUGGUAGUCCACGCCGUAAACGUUGGGAACUA
rnacentral:rRNA from 1 species